CAGUCGACGGUAACAGGAAGCAGCUUGCUGCUUCGCUGACGAGUGGCGGACGGGUGAGUAAUGUCUGGGAAACUGCCUGAUGGAGGGGGAUAACUACUGGAAACGGUAGCUAAUACCGCAUAACGUCGCAAGACCAAAGAGGGGGACCUUCGGGCCUCUUGCCAUCGGAUGUGCCCAGAUGGGAUUAGCUAGUAGGUGGGGUAACGGCUCACCUAGGCGACGAUCCCUAGCUGGUCUGAGAGGAUGACCAGCCACACUGGAACUGAGACACGGUCCAGACUCCUACGGGAGGCAGCAGUGGGGAAUAUUGCACAAUGGGCGCAAGCUGU
rnacentral:rRNA from 1 species